rnacentral:rRNA from 1 species
AUUGAACGCUGGCGGCAGGCUUAACACAUGCAAGUCGAGCGGAGUGAUGGUGCUUGCACUAUCACUUAGCGGCGGACGGGUGAGUAAUGCUUAGGAGUCUGCCUAUUAGUGGGGGACAACAUCUCGAAAGGGAUGCUAAUACCGCAUACGUCCUACGGGAGAAAGCAGGGGAUCACUUGUGACCUUGCGCUAAUAGAUGAGCCUAAGUCGGAUUAGCUAGUUGGUGGGGUAAAGGCCUACCAAGGCGACGAUCUGUAGCGGGUCUGAGAGGAUGAUGCGCCACACUGGGACUGAGACACGGCCCAGACUCCUACGGGAGGCAGCAGUGGGGAAUAUUGGACAAUGGGGGGAACCCUGAUCCAGCCAUGCCGCGUGUGUGAAGAAGGCCUUAUGGUUGUAAAGCACUUUAAGCGAGGAGGAGGCUCUUUUGGUUAAUACCCAAGAUGAGUGGACGUUACUCGCAGAAUAAGCACCGGCUAACUCUGUGCCAGCCGCCGCAGUAA